rnacentral:rRNA from 1 species
GACAGAGGGUGCAAACGUUGUUCGGAAUUACUGGGCGUAAAGCGUGUGUAGGCGGUUUGGCAAGUCGGAUGUGAAAGCCCCGGGCUCAACUCGGGAAGUGCACUCGAUACUGCUAAACUUGAGUGUCGGAGAGGUUGGUGGAAUUCUCGGUGUAGAGGUGAAAUUCGUAGAUAUCGGAAGGAACACCAGUGGCGAAAGCGGCUUCCUGGUCCAGCACCGACGUUCAGGCACGAAAGCGUGGGGAGCAAACAGG